CAGUUGGAAACGACUGCUAAUACCGCAUAAUGUCUACGGACCAAAGGGGGCUUCGGCUCUCGCCUUUAGAUUGGCCCAAGUGGGAUUAGCUAGUUGGUGAGGUAAUGGCUCACCAAGGCGACGAUCCCUAGCUGGUUUGAGAGGAUGAUCAGCCACACUGGGACUGAGACACGGCCCAGACUCCUACGGGAGGCAGCAGUGGGGAAUAUUGCACAAUGGGCGCAAGCCUGAUGCAGCCAUGCCGCGUGUGUGAAGAAGGCCUUCGGGUUGUAAAGCACUUUCAGUCAGGAGGAAAGGUUAGUAGUUAAUACCUGCUAGCUGUGACGUUACUGACAGAAGAAGCACCGGCUAACUCCGUGCCAGCAGCCGCGGUAAUACGGAGGGUGCGAGCGUU
rnacentral:rRNA from 1 species